rnacentral:lncRNA from 1 species
GAGGUGCAACUAAAUCAUGAAAAUAACACAAGGAAAAAUCCUUGUUGAAACCGAAUAGAAGGUAACAAGUCGGGCUAGGCCCCUUUGGAUCACAAGUUUUGUUUCAUGCUUCUGAUAACCAGUAUUCAUUAGCAUAAAACUAGGAGUUAAGUGUUUAGGCUCAAUCAGAGAUGUCAUUCUAAAUUUGAUAUGAAAGUCUUAAGUUGAGAAAACAAAAGACAAGAUAUUAUUUACUGCUACAGUGGAAGUCUUAAAAAGAAGUUGAACCCUAGCCUCAGCUCAGUCCCGUCAGCACCAGCCAGCCAACCUGAAAACAUUUGAAAGUAUUUUUGGGCUAAGUACUAAUGUACUCAGUGGGCAUGCAUUUUCUGAAACAUUUCAUAUUUUCGUAAAGACAGUUUAUCCAAUCAUAAAUGACAUAACUUAGAAGGUUUUAAAAUUGAAAGAACUUCUAAGCAUGUUAAAAUAAUUUCUUUCAUUUGUGUGCACAUGUCACACUCCCUUUCCGUUACUCGCUGUGAUCCCGGACCUUUUAGCCACCGACGGAUCCAUUACUCCCGCUUGCUUGAACUGAGGGCGUAACCCAGCCAAGUUCCCAUUUGGGACCCAAUGAUCCGGAACACAUCCCGUCGAGCACCCUUAUAACGCCUCAUACAUGAUUAGUGCCCGAUGGAGAUCAACCCACCAGGUAAGCUAAUAGGUGUACACAAUUCUCAAAUAACGUGUUAGGUCAAGAGAGAACCUCGAUCGAUUCAUUGUUGCGAGCCUUAAACGGAGCAGAGUGCACAAAAUAUUUUAUUGGAUAAACAGUUUGCAUUUCAUUGAAACAUUUAGAGCUUAAUAACUCAAUCAUACUUUAUACAUUUGGAAAGUAAGCCCACCUGAUUAGGCAAAGCCUGAAGAUCAUAAACAUGGAAACCUGUCUUGGGAAAGCAACGCUAAUUCCCUUGGUCCACAAAGCCUACAAGAAAUCUAUUAUCUUAAUAGGUCUCCUGAAUCUAAUCUUAAGUCAUAGUGAAGUGCUUAACAUUCUAUGAUUCAUCACACCGGGUUUUCAAAAUUUAAUGAAGAAGAUCGAAAACAAAUUCUUGAGCUAAGGACACCAACAAUAUCCUUACUUGAUUUUUCUUUAAUAAUUGGAAUUAUAAAUAAAAUCAAUUAAAUCAUAAAUGCUUUUAUUGCAAAACGCAAAUGCAAUACAUGUCAUGCUUUAAACAUAUGAUAAGUAAUAACUUAAAAUAUGCACAUAAUAAUAAUAUAAUAUUAUUAAGCAAAUUAUUCAUUAAAAUAAUAAUUAAUCAACUAUUAAAAGUCUAGUUAACUAAAAACAUAUUAGCCCAUUAUAAAUAAAUAGAACAUGCCCAAGCUUAAAUCAAAGAAUCGGUCUAACUUAAUAAUAUAAAUCAGCCCACAAUUGAAAUGAGAAGCCCUUUUGUUAAAAAAAUUCGCAGCCCACCUCAAAUAAAUAAGACGUGGCCCUAUUAAAAUAUAAAAACAAGCCCAAACACUUAUUAAAAUCGGCCCAACCUCAAACUCCCUUUUUCCCCCCUUUUUUUUUCUAGAGUCAAACACGCACACACACUCACACUCUCAGCUUUCUCUCUCUCUCUCUGCUCACCACCCAGAUCCGCCUCUCUCUCUCCCUCGAAUCUCCUCCGACGGCGACCGCCGCCGAUCACCCCGCCUUCAUCUCCCUCGUCGCACCACACCAUUCAGCUCACCAAUACCCACGAAAGAAACGGCGAAGCAGCGGCGAGAAUCACCGCCUCCGCCUUCCUCCUUGGCGACGGCGAGGCGCCGCCGCCUCCCUCGAUCUCUCGUCUUCCCCGGCGAAGUGCCGCCUGUGACAGCCCUCGUUCCCGGGAGAAUAGGAAAUGUGCUACUUAAUGGGAUUUCUAGACUUUGCUCGGAUAAAAUAGGUGAUAUGUCCUUAGAUUUGGGUGACACAUUCAUAAUAAAGGAAUUUCGUAAUUGAAGGAUAAUAAUUACGACAACUAAGAUAGAAAUUCUCCCAACCAGGAUCAAAAGUUCGGAGGUCUGAGACAACAAGAUAACACUUCAUACUAGACAUACAUAUAUGCGAGGUUCAGUUGCUAGAAAUGCGAUUGCCAAAAGAGUUCAUAAUAAUUAGGCUAAGAAUAUUUAAAGAGUCAAUCUCAAAAGAUAUCCACCUUAGUGAAUAUUAUGGCAGCAUAAAUUAUUAUAUGAAACUACAGCAACAUCCUCCCUCAGCCUCGCACGUCACCACCUGCCGCUCAACCUGCAAAAGGUUUUGAAAACAAUUGCAGGGCUGAGUACUAAUAUACUCAGUGGGUUUAGCCAUUUGAAAACAUUUGAAAAUCCAUUUAAAAGAAUAAUCCAUGCUAUGAACAGUAUAACAUAGAAAUAUUAGAAAGCAUUCCAUGCAUACUUAAAAUAAAUUGUGGAUCCAUUUUCAGUCUUCUCUCUACUGGUGCUUCGCCUAUAAUGUGAACAUGUGGGAGCAGCCCACAGAGGUCCACUACCAUGCAUGUUUCAGAAAUGAGAGCAGCCCAAGUCUGACAGUCUGGGGCAAGUGGGAGCAGCCCACAAUACCCCCUUGUGUGUACACAAUCCUAACCAGGGCGAUCCAAUCGCUACGCCGGCUAGGACCCGAUCGUUAGAGAACAUAGGAACACUUUAAACUAUAGAGAGAUAAAAACAUUUUAACAUGGACAUUCAUUUGCAUUUGCAUAAAACAAGUAGAGCUUAAUAACUCAAAACAUACAUUUGGAAAAUAAAAACCCACCUCGAUAGAACAAGCUUGUAGAUAAAAGAUGUACAAUUCUCUUCUUGUAAACGCAAAGCUAAUUCCUUCUCUCAAGUGGACCUACAAGACAAUCUAAUCUUAAUAGGUCUCAAAAUAUCGCAUGAGCUAACGAUUCUACAAAGCUGCUAAAUCUUAAUAUUCUGCGCCCGAAUUUUUAAAACUCAAAUGAAUAUCAUAAAAAAAAUCAAAUUUAUCAAAAUACUUUUAUUGCAUUAUUAAAAAUAAUCAACUGAUUCAGGACUCGACUAAAUAAUUUAAGUAAAGCCUGAGUUAAAGAAUGUAAUUCAGCCCAACAUCUAAACAAACAUGCAGCCCAACUCUUUAAUUAAAUCAGGCCCAACUUGAAUUAAAAGUAUAGGCCCAAAAUUUCAUAAGUCAAAAACCCCUUAUCUCUCCUUCUCUACGCCUCCCCUCUCUCUCUCUCAGAACACACCCCCUUCUCCUCCUUUCUCCGCCAUCUCUCUCUCACCAGCCGCCUCGCCACUUCUCCAUCGCCGGCGACGAAAGCUAUGUCGCCGUCGCGGCUCCCCCUUCCCCUAUCUUGCUUCUCUCUCUGUCAAAAAGGAAAUCCCCAAAAUCCCAAACCAUUUCCUUCGAUUUUAAGGGAGAGGCAGUCGGAGCAUCGCCUUGCCGUCGCGGCACAGCAGCAGCGUCGCUCAGCCACCUUCUCUCCCGAUCGACGAACGGACGGCACCAAUAGGCAACCGCCGCCGCGAUUCAUCACCACCAUCUCCGAUUCUCCCUAAACCGCCUCUUCCUCCCCUCUGAAUUUCGGCCAGCAGCUCGAAAUACCGCCGUCGCCGCCGACUCUAUCCUGCCUCCCCUCCUUCUCUCCUUCUACCCGCGAUGACAGCCACGCCGGCGACAACAGCAGUAACCGCGCCACCGCGGUGACCACAGCAGCACCGCUGCCUUCGCUCCCCCCCUGCCCUGACUCGCCUCGACUCGACUCCCACAUGAAAGAUAGCUUCUUUUUAACAAAACAUGGUAGGUAGAUUGUUGGGUAAUUAUGCGCACAUAUAUAUGUGUCAUGAAUAGAAUGGUGUAAGAGCAAACCUUCUUCAAAGAUUUUGCUAUAAAGCAGUGUUUUUGCUGUAGCGAUGAUGGUAUCGAGUAAGGGAUGCUGCUGUGUUUGAGUUAGCAGAAAGAAUGUUAUUCAUGUGAGUGCAGCUUGUUGUGUGUUUGCUGGGAAUUAGAAGAUAAUAUGAUGGAGUUUUCUUUCUGUAGAAUGAUUGAGGAAGAGAAGAGUGGUUGGUGCUCUCGGUAAGGAGCUGGGAUUAUGGAAUUUGCGAUGAGGCUAUAGAGAAUUUAGUGAAGAAAAUCUGGAGUUUGGUUUGGUGUAGAGUUUGAGUAUCUGCUGAGGACUCUUAUAGGAGAAGAGUGGGGACGUGGAAGUACCCAUAUCAUGCAUUAAAACUAAUUGAUAACCAUGUAAUGUGUCAAUUCUACUGCCC